AGUGAACGCUGGCGGUAGGCCUAACACAUGCAAGUCGAACGGCAGCACAGUAAGAGCUUGCUCUUACGGGUGGCGAGUGGCGGACGGGUGAGGAAUACAUCGGAAUCUACUUUUUCGUGGGGGAUAACGUAGGGAAACUUACGCUAAUACCGCAUACGACCUACGGGUGAAAGCAGGGGAUCUUCGGACCUUGCGCGAUUGAAUGAGCUGAUGUCGGAUUAGCUAGUUGGCGGGGUAAAGGCCCACCAAGGCGACGAUGCGUAGCUGGUCUGAGAGGAUGAUCAGCCACACUGGAACUGAGACACGGUCCAGACUCCUACGGGAGGCAGCAGUGGGGAAUAUUGGACAAUGGGCGCAAGCCUGAUCCAGCCAUACCGCGUGGGUGAAGAAGGCCUUCGGGUUGUAAAGCCCUUUUGUUGGGAAAGAAAAGCAGCAGGUUAAUACCCCGCUGUUCUGACGGUACCCAAAGAAUAAGCACCGGCUAACUUCGUG
rnacentral:rRNA from 1 species